UGGGGAAUAUUGCACAAUGGAGGGAACUCUGAUGCAGCGACGCCGCGUGAACGAAGAAGGCUUUCGAGUCGUAAAGUUCUUUUAUAUGGGAAGAUAAUGACGGUACCAUAAGAAAAAGCCCCGGCUAACUACGUGCCAGCAGCCGCGGUAAUACGUAGGGGGCUAGCGUUGUCCGGAAUCACUGGGCGUAAAGGGUUCGCAGGCGGAAAUGCAAGUCAGGUGUAAAAGGCAGUAGCUUAACUACUGUAAGCAUUUGAAACUGCAUAUCUUGAGAAGAGUAGAGGUAAGUGAAAUUUUUGGUGUAGCGGUGAAAUGAGUAGAUAUUAAAAAGAAUACCGGUGGCGAAGGCGACGUACUGGGCUCAUUCUGACGCUGAGGAACGAAAGCGUGGGUAGAAAACAGG
rnacentral:rRNA from 1 species